rnacentral:lncRNA from 1 species
UAACCGAUCUAAAUCACGUGAUUCAUGUCCACAUGAAACACCACGCCACCGCCAUCACGCGCCGAUGCCAUCGCCUCGCCAUCCCUGCCGGCGCGGGCGCUGUGCCAUAGCCACCUGCGGCCUUGUCAUCCCCGUCGGCGCCGUCGCCUCGCCAUCACCCCCGCCGCCGCCGGCUGCGCCAUCCCCCCACCCUCUCUCGCCUCGCCAUCGCCACUUUUGUCGUCGCCUCGCCGUCCUCCUCCUCCUCCCAAUAAAAUUGCUCGCCUCCAGAUCUGCGCCGCCCCUGGCUAUCGGGACAGGAGCACCCGCGUUCGAUCGCUGCGUGUGUCGUGCGUGCUCCCGCUAGGCGUCGCCGGACUGGGCUCGGUCUCCUCUCUCUUCAUGUAAGUGGGACAACGAGAUCUAUCCCUCCUCCUCCUCCUCCAUCUGCUGUUUCAGUGAGCAAUUUCUUUCAUUCCUUGUGACCGGCCGGUUCAACGACGGAGUUCGGCAGCACUUACUAGAAUGGUGGUGGCGGCGAGGUUGGAGUAAUCCAUUUGCAUAUUGAUAUAUAUAAAUGACGAGUCGUGCUUAAAGUUAUUUUGAUAAUAAACUAGGUCAUAAGCAAAAUAAAUAAUAUUUGUAUAAUUUUUUGAAUAAGACAAAUGGUUAAACAUUAAAGGUAAAAAGUCAAAUAUCUUACGUUAUAAAACAGAGGGAGUAUAUAUAUAUAUAUAUAUAUAUAUAGUUGUACUAAAUUUUUAUAGUUGUACUAAAUUUUUGAAUAAGACGAAUGAUCAAACGUUGCAACUAAAAAAGUUAAACAUUUUUCAUUGUGAAACGGAGGUAGUAAUUGUCGAUAGAAAAUAACUCUAAAAUCUUUCAAUACACAAGAACGUUUAUUUUGUUUGAGUUCUUGCAAUGCACACAGUGUACUUGCAUGAUUAUGUGGGUUGAACUUUGGAUUCAAGAAGUAUUACUUGAGCCUAUUCUUUUUGUUAAUUCAUUUUACCUUCCUUUUGUCUCUUUUUACAAUAUUGAGGUGUGAAAGAAACUGAUUUUGGGUUCUUUGUUACUUGAAAUCUUUGGACCGAUUUGUUAUCUGAAGGAAUCCGAGUGAAAGUUGCUGUCUACAGCCCAUUUUUUCCUUGAAUUUGCUCCAAGGAGGGCCUUGUUAUGUUAUUUUCUGAAUUAAAUGUACUUUAAUUUAAUUUUUGUUUGCCUUAUCGAUAUAUUUGGUAUUGGUAGCUCUGCUUGAUUGAGAGAGUGAUUAGUUGUUCUUGGAAGGAAAAUCCCGCAUCCUCCAGCAGUUUUCUCCUACUGGACUUGUUCGUGCACUGAGUCCAGUUAAUUUUAAUUGUUUACACUAAAAUUAUUUUAAAAAUAAUUUUUGAAAAUAAAUUGCGUGUUGAAUCAAAAUAGUAAAGUGUGGUCAAUGUACAAUUGUCUUAUAAAGUAUCGAGAAGCCUAUAAUUGAGAAUAAUAAAUUAUGAUCAUAUCAUAAAUGUUGGUACGGGGCUAUUCCCCUUUACCCAUUCCCCCGAACAGGACUCUCCGACAUGUUGCUAUAAUUCGACUCUCCGUCAUGUUGCUACAAUUCAACUCUCUGGCAUAUCGCUACAAUUCAACUCACCGGCAUGUAGCUACGAUUCGACUCUCCGGUUGCAUAUGCAUAGAGAUCUCGGCAGUAUCAAGACAAGGAAAUGGAACCAUCAGAGGGGACUCGAGUAGAGGUACUAGAAGCUUGUCAUGCAAGACACCCCGAAGCUUGCCGGAGACGAUUCUUAGGGAUAUUCCCACAAGAUACCUAGGACCAGUACUCAAGUGCACUCAAUUACACAAGACAGCUGGCCACGCGGUCCCCCCAUACAUAGAGGUUUUACAAUUGUAGCCAUAAGGCCAAUUUGUAACUACCUAAGGAUAACUUGGUAAUUGUACAAAGGGGGGCCGGGACUAUAAAAGCCAGUACCCCAUCCUGUAAAAGG